CGGCGACCGGCGCACGGGUGAGUAACACGUAUGCGACCUGCCCGUAGCAGGGGGAUAAGCGGAAGAAAUUCCGUCUAAUACCGCGUAAUAUCUUUCCGGGGGCAUCCCUGAGGGAUUAAAGGAAGUGAUUCCGGCUACGGAUGGGCAUGCGGCGCAUUAGCUAGUCGGCGGGGUAACGGCCCACCGAGGCGACGAUGCGUAGGGGUUCUGAGAGGAAGGUCCCCCACACUGGUACUGAGACACGGACCAGACUCCUACGGAAGGCAGCAG
rnacentral:rRNA from 1 species